UUAUUGGAGAGUUUGAUCCUGGCUCAGGACGAACGCUGGCGGCGUGCCUAAUACAUGCAAGUCGAGCGGAGUCGAUGAGAAGCUUGCUUCUUUGAGACUUAGCGGCGGACGGGUGAGUAACACGUAGGCAACCUGCCCAUAAGACUGGGAUAACUACCGGAAACGGUAGCUAAUACCGGAUAGGUUCUUCCCUCGCAUGAGAGAAGAAAGAAAGACGGAGCAAUCUGUCACUUAUGGAUGGGCCUGCGGCGCAUUAGCUAGUUGGUGGGGUAAAGGCCUACCAAGGCGACGAUGCGUAGCCGACCUGAGAGGGUGAUCGGCCACACUGGGACUGAGACACGGCCCAGAC
rnacentral:rRNA from 1 species